ensembl:lncRNA
UUUGCAACCUGACACUGUUCAGCUUUUUUAUCUUUUACCAGUAUUUGGGGACUUAUUGGGGAUUCCUUUGAUAAUUUCAGGAAGAAAGAAGUGGAAUGGAAGGAGCCAGUAACUGUCCCAGGUCAGAAAACGCCUCUGAAAAGGAUCUACAUUACACCCAAAGUUCAUUGGAUAACUGCACCCUCAACAAUCAGGAGACAAUAAGUGGUGUAGACAGAGCUAAUAUCUUCCCCAAAUCAGAUGGUACCUCUGAAGACAUUCAGCAUUCCACAGACUGUUCACAGGUUGAGACUUUCCACAUUCAGGAGACAAUAAGUGGUACGAACCAAGCCAGUAACUGCCCCAAAUCAGAUGGUGCCUCUGAAGACAAUCAGCAUUGCACAGACAGUUCACAGCAUGACAGUAUCUUCCACAUUCAGGAGACAAUAAAGGGUAUGAACCAAGCCAGUAACUGCCCCAAAUCAGAUGGUGCCUCUGAAGACAAUCAGCAUUGCACAGACAGUCCACAGCAUGACAGUAUCUUCCACAUUCAGGAGACAAUAAAGGGUAUGAACCAAGCCAGUAACUGCCCCAAAUCAGAUGGUGCCUCUGAAGACAAUCAGCAUUGCACAGACAGUCCACAGCAUGACAGUAUCUUCCACAUUCAGGAGACAAUAAAGGGUAUGAACCAAGCCAGUAACUGCCCCAAAUCAGAUGGUGCCUCUGAAGACAAUCAGCAUUGCACAGACAGUUCACAGCAUGACAGUAUCUUCCACAUUCAGGAGACAAUAAAGGGUACGAACCAAGCCAGUAACUGCCCCAAAUCAGAUGGUGCCUCUGAAGACAAUCAGCAUUGCACAGACAGUUCACAGCAUGACAGUAUCUUCCACAUUCAGGAGACAAUAAAGGGUACGAACCAAGCCAGUAACUGCCCCAAAUCAGAUGGUGCCUCUGAAGACAAUCAGCAUUGCACAGACAGUUCACAGCAUGACAGUAUCUUCCACAUUCAGGAGACAAUAAAGGGUACGAACCAAGCCAGUAACUGCCCCAAAUCAGAUGGUGCCUCUGAAGACAAUCAGCAUUGCACAGACCGUCCACAGCAUGACAGUAUCUUCCACAUUCAGUGGCUCUUGAUGUAGAACCACCCAUAGAUCCUUCUGCAAAAGAAGUCCAGAAAUCUUCAAUUGAACAAGCAACAGAAAUAACAAGUACCACAACUACCAUGAAAGGUACUGUUUGUUAAACUUCAUAGAAAGCCUUUAUGAACUUAAAAAUCUCUGUUUUUUCUGAUGUGCUUUGUUCAUUCAGGUCGAAAGGUGGUAAAGAAAAAGAAAUGGGACAGUGAUGAAAUGAAUGCAGUUGAAAAGCAUCUAAACAGGUUCAUCAAAACUUGUACAGUGCCAGGAAAACAACAAUGUGAGGCCUGUAUAAAUGCUGAACCUGUUGCCUUGAAAGACAGGGAUUGGUUGUCUGUAAAGUUCUUUGUGAAGAACAAAAUCACUACCCUUAAAAGAAGAAUGUAAAGUCAGUUAUUUUAUUUUGUUUGGUAUCUUAUUUUCUGGUAUUUUAGAUUUCUGGUUAUUACAUUUGUUUUAAAAGGAUCUUAGAAUCUCUUUUUUUUUUUUUUUUGGAAAUGGGUGC